CAACUUCCUUCAGAAGAAUGAAAUCCUCAUAGUCAAGUCAUGCGUUUAUGUGCUCACCAUCGGUGGUGCCUUUUUGCUCUGCCCCCAGCCCGAGUUUUCCGGGCCUUUCCAUCUCUUUUCUAUCUCCACUCUCCUGCCCUCACCCACUCUACCUACCUCUACCUCUGCACCCACCAAUCAGAGUGCCUUUUCAUGUCUGGAACCAAUCAGAAAGCCUCUUCUUCCAAACAUGUAUUAAGCAUCUGUGAAUGGGCAAAGCCUCUCUGACAAAAGAAAGCACAGAAGCUUUGAGGUGUCCACUCAGGAAAGACAAUCUGUAGGAUGGGAGAACUGCGUACUAGAUGGCACUUAAAACCACAUGAUUGGAUAAGACAUCACUGGAUGUCUCAUCUACAUCAGUGAUUGGAAUGGGAAAGGAACAGAGUCUAUAAUGAAGGUACAUCCUAAUGGACAUCAGCAGUCCCCUGCAAGUCACUCCAUUCAGAAGAGAUUAUGAUGGGUCUUGAAGACAGAUUAAGAAAUUGGGGCCUGGAGUGGGUAACCUGCCCAUGGUUAUGCAGCCAGUUUGAGGAAGAUCAUCACCAAAUACCACCUUGAACUUCUAGAGCACUAUCUGGAAUGUGUGGUGCUGACACCGUAUAAUUUACUGUUUCAUUUUAGUCUUCCCUGUGUGGUUUUGUUCUCUGGCUGUUUUGUGUUCAAUUGGAGUAGAUUUCCUUAGCCUUGGGUUCCUUGUAUAAUUAUUCCA